GGCCAUAGCUCAGUGGUUAAGAGCAUCUGUUUUGCAUAUGCAGAAGAUUCUAGGUUCAAUCUCUGGGAGCAUCU